rnacentral:rRNA from 1 species
AAACUUAAAGGACCUGGCGGUGCUCCACAUCAGUCUAGAGGGGCCCGUCCAAUAAUCGAAACCACGCGAUAACCCAACCUCUUCUAGCCUCACAGUCUAUAUACCGCCGUCGAAAGCACGUCUUACAAAAGACGCAGCUAAAAAGUUAACAACACUAGCACGUCAGGUCAAGGUGUAACAUAUGAACAGGACAGGAUUGGCCACAGUAA